CCCGGGCUAGCUCAAUUGGCAGAGCGCACGUCUAAAUCUCGUGAGGUCACAAGUUCGAGUCUUGUGCCUGGGU